CCUACGGGAGGCAGCAGUGAGGAAUAUUGGUCAAUGGACGAGAGUCUGAACCAGCCAAGUAGCGUGAAGGAUGACUGCCCUAUGGGUUGUAAACUUCUUUUAUAUGGGAAUAGAGUGUUCCACGUGUGCGGUUUUGUAUGUACCCUAUGAAUAAGGCUCGGCUAACUCCGUGCCAGCAGCCGCGGUAAUACGGAGGGGCCGAGCGUUAUCCGGAUUUAUUGGGUUUAAAGGGAGCGUAGGGGGGGUGUUAAGUCAGUUGUGAAAGUUUGGGGCUCAACCGUAAAAUUGCAGUUGAAACUGGCAGUCUGGAGUACAGGAGAGGUGGGCGGAAUUCGUGGUGUAGCGGUGAAAUGCUUAGAUAUCACGAAGAACUCCGAUUGCGAAGGCAGUUCACUGGACUGUAACUGACACUGAGGCUCGAAAGUGUGGGUAUCAAACAGGAUUAGAUACCCGAGUAGUC
rnacentral:rRNA from 1 species